GGUGAACGCUGGCGGUGGGCUUAACACAUGCAAGUCGAACGGUAGCACCCUAAGAGCUUGCUCUGACGCGAACCGAGGGGUAAACCGGGGAGGAAUACACCCUAAUCUACUUUUUAGCGGUGGAAAACGUAGGGAAACUUGCGCUAAUACCGCCUACGACCUACGGGUGAAAGCAGAGGAUCUUCGGACUUUUCGGGUUGGAGUGAGCCCAGGUCGUAUUAGCUUGUUGGCGAGGUGAAGGCCCACCAAGGCGACGACGCGGAGCCGGCCUGAGAGGGCGACCGGCCCCACUGGGACUGAGACACGGCCCAGACUCCUACGGGAGGCAGCAGUGGGGAAUAUUGCACAAUGGGCGAAAGCCUGAUGCAGCGACGCCGCGUGAGGGAUGACGGCCUUCGGGUUGUAAACCUCUUUCAGCUACGAAGAAGCGAAAGUGACGGUGGGAGCAGAAGAAGCACCGGCUAACUACGU
rnacentral:rRNA from 1 species